GUAACACGUAGUCAACCUGCCCUCGGGUCGAGAAUAAUCUCGGGAAACUGAGGCUAAUGAGCGAUAGGUCAAGAUUCCUGGAAUGGGUUUUGGUCUAAACGGCGUGACAGCAUCUUGUCAUGUCCGCCCGAGGAUGGGACUGCGGCCGAUCAGGCUGUUGGUGGGGUAAAGGCCCACCAAACCAGUAACCGGUACGGGCUUUGAGAGAAGGAGCCCGGAGAUGGACACUGAGACAAGGGUCCAGGUCCUACGGGGCGCAGCAGGCGCGAAACCUUCGCAAUGCGCGCAAGCGCGACGAGGUUAUUCCGAGUGAUUUCCGCUGAGGAAAUCUUUUCUCAGAUCUAAAAAGUCUGAGGAAUAAGGGGAGGGCAAGUCUGGUGUCAGCCGCCGCGGUAAUACCAGCUGCUCGAGUGGUCGGGGCGUUUAUUGCGCCUAAAGCAUCCGUAGCCUGCUUGGUAGGUCUCCGGUUAAAUCCAACGGCUCCAACCGUUGGGUCUGCAGGAAAUACCCGCUAGGGCU
rnacentral:rRNA from 1 species